UUCUCCUACUUCAUACUUUAACUUCUACAUUUCAGUGGCACAUAUUAUAAUAAUUAAUAAAGGUGAUUAUUAUUAUUUUUCUGUCUUAACAGUUUGAAGUUGGAGUGUGAUAAACUGGCCUCUGAGAAGUCAGAGAUGCAGCGGCACUAUAUCAUGUACUACGAAAUGUCCUAUGGGCUGAACAUUGAAAUGCACAAACAGGCAGAAAUAGUGAAGAGACUGAAUGGGAUUUGUGCUCAGGUGCUGCCUUACCUGUCUCAGGAG